rnacentral:rRNA from 1 species
AUUGAACGCUGGCGGCAGGCUUAACACAUGCAAGUCGAGCGGGGUGAUGGUGCUUGCACUAUCACUUAGCGGCGGACGGGUGAGUAAUGCUUAGGAAUCUGCCUAUUAGUGGGGGACAACAUCUCGAAAGGGAUGCUAAUACCGCAUACGUCCUACGGGAGAAAGCAGGGGAUCACUUGUGACCUUGCGCUAAUAGAUGAGCCUAAGUCGGAUUAGCGAGUUGGUGGGGUAAAGGCCUACCAAGGCGACGAUCUGUAGCGGGUCUGAGAGGAUGAUCCGCCACACUGGGACUGAGACACGGCCCAGACUCCGAAGGGAGGCAGCAGUGGGGAAUAUUGGACAAUGUGGGGAACCCUGAUCCAGCCAUGCCGCGUGUGUGAAGAAGGCCUUAUGGUUGUAAAGCACUUUAAGCGAGGAGGAGGCUCUUUUGGUUAAUACCCAAGAUGAGUGGACGUUACUCGCAGAAUAAGCACCGGCUAACUCUGUGCCAGCCGCCGCGGUAA